GUAAAGACACGUUAACGUAACACGUCAAAACCGGAAGUGUUUUUACCACGCCAGUUUAAAUCGAUUGUGUUCUAAGGUUUUUUUUCACCGCAUCUUUUCGCUGUGACAUUUAACACACGGUUAUGUUUUCUUGACCUAACAUUAACGUUAACAAUUAAAACAUUAAACAUGCGUCGUUUUAUCUUUCGGACAUUUUAUUUCUUCCGUGAAACCGAGCAGUAGGCGAACUGAAACCACAACAACAUCCGCCACUAGAAACAUGCAGGCGGAGGAAGAGGAUGAGGUGUCUGUUGAAGAGUAUGUGGCCCGGUCGAGCUUCACCGGAAAUGACAAUGACCAGCUUAGUUUUAGCAGCGGGGACGUGCUGCUCGUGCACGCCAAAACUUCGUCAGAGUGGUGGUGGGCAGAGUUGCGUGGGGUCAAAGGUUACGUUCCUGCCAGCUACCUGCUCCAGGGCGCUCAGGAGGGAGAGGAGGAGGAGGAGGAGGAGGACCCAUGGCAACAUAAAGAAUACUUUGGCAGUUAUGGGACACUGAGGCUUCACUUGGAGAUGUUGUCCGAUAAGAGCCGCACUGAGACGUACCGACAGGUUAUUCUCAGCAACAGCGCUUCUCUGAGGAACAAGGUGGUGAUGGAUCUUGGCUGCGGGACUGGCAUCAUCAGCCUUUUCUGCGCUCAACUGGCAGAACCCUCAGAGGUGUAUGCAGUGGAGGCCAGCUCCAUGGCAGAGUACACCAGACAGCUGGUGAAGCAGAACGGCUGCGAGGAGUUGGUCACGGUGCUGCAGGGACGAGCCGAGGAGAUCGAACUACCUGAGCGGGUGGACGUCCUGGUGUCGGAGUGGAUGGGAAACUGCCUGCUGUUUGAGUUCAUGGUGGAGUCGGUACUGCGGGCCAGGGACCGCUGGCUUAAGGAAGGUGGUGUCAUGUGGCCGUCAUCUGCUGCCCUCAGCCUAGUGCCAUGUCAGGCCGACAGCUAUUAUGCCGAGACCAUGGCCUUCUGGGAGCAGCCUUAUGGCCUGGACUUCACUCCUCUUCAGCCCUUGGCACAGCAAGAGUUCUUCACCAAGCCCAAGUUCAGUCAUGUGAUUGAGCCCGAAGACUGCCUAACGGCGCCCUGCGACGUCCUACAGCUGGACAUGUACACUCUGCAGGUCAAAGACCUGGAGGAAAUAAAGGGUCACUUUCAUUUCUGUGUGGAAAAGUCUGGUGUUUUUCACGGGUUCAGCGCCUGGUUCAAAGUUCAGUUUGAGAGCCUGCAGAGGGGAGGUGCCCCCGUGGAGCUCAACACCGGACCGAACUCUGAGUAUAACGGCAAAAACUCAUUCCAACUUAUGUUGUAUAGCUACAACAUUCUAACAGCCAAUACUGCUUUUUCAAAUAACGCUAAUACUUUAGGCUUUAUAAACAAUAUCGGAAUGUAUCUCUGUUACAGGCUUCAAAUUAUGUUGUUAUACUCAAGGUGUCUACAAUGGUUUUGUCUUCAGGCCCACACAUUGGAAGCAGACUCUGUUCAUGCUGGACAGGCCAGUUAGUGUGCAUGCUGAAGAUGCCAUCAGUGGAAGCAUCAGCCUGCGCAGGAACCCGGUCUGGAGACGCCACAUGACAGUCACCCUGCACUGGAGCGUUAACUGCAGCCAGGUUGGGACAAAGAGUUUCCCCAUGUGGAGGUGACAGACUUCUCCGUCGGCAUUGGCGAUCCAAGCACAUCUUCUCUCAAGUCUCGGGUCAAUGAGGUGACCUGGAAUGAAGCGUGAGGCUCAUCUGGGACGACAUGUAGUCCCGUGGUGUUGAGCGUGAUGACAACAGUCGCAGGUGAUGCAUCCUGCUCACCAUGAACCGUGUUACAAGUGCAGAUUAGGAAAUAGAUGUCACUUUGGAGCGUUGGCUGAGAGGAAAGAGGCUUUACAGAAGACAAUGAUUGACAUGAGACAUAGUCAUUUGUUUGACUGCUAUAUAUGCCAUUAGGCUUGUAUGGGUGUAAGAAAAUGUUAAGCAUUGAGGUUAAGAAACCAUUUUAUUUUCCAUUUUCAAAGAUUAAAGUGAACGAUGUACAUCAAUGAAAUUCUACAUUGCAAUUAGCCUAAUGUGCUGAAAUAGGCAUUCAAUAUGUGGUACACAAUAAAUGAAUCAUUCUGAACAAAAUAACUCAAAUUAAUAAAUCCAUUUUUAACCACAAA